UACGGAGGGGGCGAGCGUUAUUCGGAAUUAUUGGGCGUAAAGGGUGCGUAGGCGGCUUUGUAAGUCAGUGGUGAAAUACUCUAGCUUAACUAGAGGGGUGCCAUUGAUACUGCGGAGCUUGAGUACAGAUGAGGUAGGCGGAAUUGACGGUGUAGCGGUGAAAUGCAUAGAUAUCGUCAAGAACACCGAUAGCGAAGGCAGCUUACUGGGCUGUAACUGACGCUGAGGCACGAAAGUGUGGGGAUCAAACAGG
rnacentral:rRNA from 1 species